GGGGGACAACGUUUCGAAAGGAACGCUAAUACCGCAUACGUCCUACGGGAGAAAGCAGGGGACCUUCGGGCCUUGCGCUAUCAGAUGAGCCUAGGUCGGAUUAGCUAGUUGGUGAGGUAAUGGCUCACCAAGGCGACGAUCCGUAACUGGUCUGAGAGGAUGAUCAGUCACACUGGAACUGAGACACGGUCCAGACUCCUACGGGAGGCAGCAGUGGGGAAUAUUGGACAAUGGGCGAAAGCCUGAUCCAGCCAUGCCGCGUGUGUGAAGAAGGUCUUCGGAUUGUAAAGCACUUUAAGUUGGGAGGAAGGGCAGUAAGCUAAUACCUUGCUGUUUUGACGUUACCGACAGAAUAAGCACCGGCUAACUCUGUGCCAGCAGCCGCGGUAAUACAGAGGGUGCAAGCGUUAAUCGGAAUUACUGGGCGUAAAGCGCGCGUAGGUGGUUCGUUAAGUUGGAUGUGAAA
rnacentral:rRNA from 1 species